GGCCCAUAUUCCUACGGGAAGCAGCAGUAGGGAAUCUUCCACAAUGGACGAAAGUCUGAUGGAGCAAUGCCAUGUGAACGAUGAAGGUCAUGAAGAUCGUAAAGUUCUUUUAGGGGGGAAAACUCUGAUGGUACCUCCUGAAUAAGUGACAGCAAACUAUGUGCCAGCAGCUGCGGUAAUACAUAGGUCGCGAGCGUUAUUCGGAUUUAUUGGGCGUAAAGCAAGCGCAGGCGGAUUGAUAAGUUCUGUAUUAAAAGCAGCUGCUCAACAGUUGUUUGUACCGAAUACUGUCAGUCUAGAAUUUGGUAGGAAGUUUUGGAAUUAAACAUGGAGCGGUGGAAUGUGUAGAUAUGUUUAAGAACACCAGAGGCGAAGGCGAAAACUUAGGCCAUAAUUGACGCUUAGGCUUGAAAGUGUGGGUAGCAAAUGGGAUUAGAUACCCCAGUAGUCCACACCGUAAACGAUGGGUAUUAGAUGUUGGGACUUGUGUCUCAGUGUCGUAGCUUACGUGUUAAAUACCCCGCCUGGGUAGUACAUAUGCAAAUAUGAAACUCAAAGGAAUUGACGGGGACCUGAACAAGUGGUGGAACAUGUUGCUUAAUUCGAUAAUACACGAAAAACCUUACCAAGGUUUGACAUCCCCAGCGAAGGUAUAGAAAUAUAUUGGAGGUUAUCUGGGUGACAGGUGGUGCAUGGUUGUCGUCAGCUCGUGUCAUGAGAUGUUUGGUUAAGUCCCGCAACGAGCGCAACCCUAUUUCUUAGUUGUUUGUCUAAGUUGACUGAAUCGUAAGAUAUAGGAAGGUUGGGAUCACGUCAAAUCAUCAUGCCCCUUAUGCCUUGGGCUGCAAACGUGUUACAAUGGUGAGUACAAUGUGCAGCAAACUAGCGAUAGCGAGCAAAUCACUAAAACUCAUCUCAGUCCGGAUAAAAGGCUGCAAUUCGCCUUUUUGAAGUUGGAAUCACUAGUAAUCCCGU
rnacentral:rRNA from 1 species